UGCAUUCCCAGCACACAAGCUGGUUGGAAUUUUCCAGGAUGAGUACUGCUAGCAACACCUGGGUUUUCCAUCCUCUGGAAUCUGAGGGAAGCUCUCUAUGGACGACUGCCCCAGCCACAUUGUUUUGUGAGAACACCC